rnacentral:sRNA from 2 species
ACCACUGCUAAUCUAUACCACUGCCAAUCUAUCUAUUGCUGCUAAUCUAUCACUGCUACCAAUCUAUCUACCACUGUCAAUCUAUCUAUCACUGUCAAUCUAUCUACCACUGCUAAUCUAUCACUGCUAAUCUAUCGCUGUUAAUCUAUUGCUGCUAAUCUAUUGCUGCUAAUCUAUUGCUGCUAAUCUAUCUAUCACUGCUAAUCUAUCACUGCCAAUCUAUCUAUCACUGCCAAUCUAUCUACCGCUGCCAAUCUAUCUACCGCUGCCAAUCUAUCUACCACUGCUAAUCUAUCACUGCUAAUCUAUCACUGUCAAUCUAUAUAGAGUAAAUCAUGAUCCCAUUUGAUCUCAUUUUGUAAAAUGGAAUCAAAUGAGACUGAGAUCACUAAUUUAUUAGUAAAACAUGAUCUGGGACUAGAUUUAUAAUAUAAACAAUGUAAAGUAACUAAUUUACUAAACACUAUAUGGGAUCAGAACUAAGAUAUCUAAUAAUGAAACUGAGGAAAAAUUUGAUCUCAGUUCCAUGCAUGGUCACAUGGCCAGUCUAGAUUUGAUUUGAUCUCAGUUCAUUUCUUGGCAUGAUUUUAGUGAGAUCAGAAUGAGAGUGUAAAGUGACUAGAAUUAUCAAAAUAUAAAUGAAAUGGGACUAAAAAAUCUUGAUAUUUCAUAUAAAGUAACUAACUAUCAAAAACAAAAAUAUGAUCUGAGACUGAUUAUGAUUUUGACUCAAAUUUGAUCCCAUUCUGAUGAUUAUAUAAUACAUCAAUCUGAUGAUAUAAUUGAUGAAGAUAUUAUCUCUAUCUUACUUAGUGCUGCUGUCAAUCUAUCCACCACUGUCAAUCUAUCUAUCACUAUCAAUCUAUCUAUCACUGUCAAUCUAUCUAUCACUGUCAAUCUAUCUAUUACUGCUAAUCUAUCACUGCUAAUCUAUUGCUGCUAAUCUAUUGCUGCUAAUCUAUUGCUGCUAAUCUAUCACUGCUAAUCUAUUGCUACUAAUCUAUUGCUGCUAAUCUAUCACCAUCAAUUUAUCUACUACUAUCAAUCUAUCUAUCACUGUCAAUCUAUCUAUUGCUGCC